rnacentral:misc_RNA from 1 species
GGCGGUGUCCAACCAGAGGGCGGUGGGACGGGCUGCUGCUGCUGCUGCUGCUGCUGCAUCAUCAUCCACUGCUGCAGCGGUGGCUGUUGUUGAUACUGCUGAUCCAUGGGGAUCUGCUGAGGGACAACUCCGGAUCCUGGCUGUUGCAUCAUAUUGAUAAUAGCGUUCUCAAAAGGGAAGAUAAGGAGGGCUGGAUCUGGGAAAAUCGGAAACCAGAGAUGAAGGGAUUGAAGUACAAUUCCUAACC